rnacentral:rRNA from 1 species
GUCCACGCCCUAAACUAUGGAUACUCGACAUUUGCGAUAAACUGUAAGUGUCUGAGCGAAAGCAUUAAGUAUCCCACCUGGGAAGUACGACCGCAAGGUUGAAACUCAAAGGAAUUGGCGGGGUCGCACAAGCGGUGGAGCAUGUGGUUUAAUUCGAUGAUACGCGAGGAACCUUACCUGGGCUAGAAUGCUGAUAGAUCGGGAGUGAAAGCUCUUUUUGUAGCAAUACACUGUCAGUAAGGUGCUGCAUGGCUGUCGU